rnacentral:rRNA from 11 species
UAGCUUGAUCCUAAUACCCUUACAGUACCGGAUCCCAUCUGACCUUGGAAGCUAGGGAGAGCCAGCUGUCAUCUGUAUUUGGAUGGGAGACUUCAAAGAACUACCAGGUACUAUAGGCUAU